GGGUCUAUGAUGACAAACCAACGUCAUGAAGAUAGGUGAUGACAUAAAUAUAAUUCUGUGGUUUGUGCUGCUGAGACCC